UGCCAGCCGCCGCGGUAAUACGGAGGGGGCGAGCGUUAUUCGGAAUCAUUGGGCGUAAAGGGCAGGUAGGCGGCUUUGUGUGUCUUCUGUGAAAGCCCUCGGCUCAACCGAGGAAUUGCAGGAGAAACUGCAGAGCUUGAGUUCGGGAGAGGGCAGUAGAAUUCCUGGUGUAGAGGUGAAAUUCGUAGAUAUCAGGAGGAACACCGAUGGCGAAGGCAUCUCUCUGGGCCGAUAUUGACGCUGAGGCGCGAAGGCGUGGGUAGCGAACGGGAUUAGAUA
rnacentral:rRNA from 1 species